GAAGCUGGUGGUGGAAAUCAAAGAGUGUAUUAGUAAACUCAACUAAACCAAGACAAAAGACAAGUCAAACUGCAAUAGACUAUCCGAUGAGACCACAAAGUGUAUGCAUCUCAACAUCUGGAAUUCUAAGGGCUCAAUAAUAAAUGCUGCUCAUGUACAGGACCUGCACAGGUAUGCACAAAAUUGAUUGGGUCCUAGAGCUGGGAGAAGUCGGCAACAUACCCAUUCUAACCCAGAAGUUAUUUCCAAUUGAUAACUACUUGCAAAUGAAAACCUUAAUUUUCUCUAAGAAAGUCCCACUGAGUAAACAAACUAUCCCAUCCAGCAGAGAUGACCAACAGAAAUAAACUCAAAUGGCAUCUCUGGA